rnacentral:rRNA from 1 species
UACGAGGGGGGUGAGCGUUGUUCGGAAUUAUUGGGCGUAAAGGGUGCGUAGGUGGUUUUGUAAGUCUUAUGUGAAAUCUAUGGGCUCAACUCAUAGACUGCAUGAGAAACUGCAGGGCUUGAGUGUGGGAGAGGUGAGUGGAAUUUCCGGUGUAGCGGUGAAAUGCGUAGAUAUCGGAAGGAACACCUGUGGCGAAAGCGGCUCACUGGACCACAACUGACGCUGAUGCACGAAAGCUAGGGGAGCAAACAGG